rnacentral:ncRNA from 1 species
GCUGGUGGGAGGCUCUGACACGCGGCCCAGAUCCGUGCCGCCGGGACCGCGCCGAGCCACUGGCGAGACCGACCCAUACCACC